rnacentral:rRNA from 1 species
UACGUAGGGGGCAAGCGUUGUCCGGAAUCAUUGGGCGUAAAGCGCGUGUAGGCGGCCCGAUAAGUCCGCUGUGAAAGUCCAGGGCUCAACCCUGGGAUGCCGGUGGAUACUGUCGGGCUCGAGUCCGGAAGAGGAGUGUGGAAUUCCUGGUGUAGCGGUGAAAUGCGCAGAUAUCAGGAGGAACACCGGUGGCGAAGGCGGGUCUCUGGGCCGAUAUUGACGCUGAGGAGCGAAAGCGUGGGGAGCGAACAGG